GUGGGGAAUCUUGCGCAAUGGGCGAAAGCCUGACGCAGCCAUGCCGCGUGAAUGAUGAAGGUCUUAGGAUUGUAAAAUUCUUUCACCGGGGACGAUAAUGACGGUACCCGGAGAAGAAGCUCCGGCUAACUUCGUGCCAGCAGCCGCGGUAAUACGAAGGGGGCUAGCGUUGCUCGGAAUUACUGGGCGUAAAGGGCGCGGAGGCGGACAGCUUAGUCAGAGGUGAAAGCCCAGGGCUCAACCUUGGAAUUGCCUUUGAUACUGGCUGUCUGGAGUUUGGGAGAGGUGAGUGGAACUCCGAGUGUAGAGGUGAAAUUCGUAGAUAUUCGGAAGAACACCAGUGGCGAAGGCGACUCACUGGCCCAAUACUGACGCUGAGGCGCGAAAGCGUGGGGAGCAAACAGGAUUAGAAACCCUGGUAGUCC
rnacentral:rRNA from 1 species